AAAAGUUCCAUGUGAACUGCACUUGUACAUGGGUCAAAAGGGAAUUGGGUUAAAAUUCUCAAAUGGAGACGUGGCAGCUGACACGACAUUAGGGAGUCCGAAAGCGUCGGUGGGACCUCGAGAGUUAUCUUUUCUAUUAAAUAGCAUGUUCACUCUAGAAACAACUCAGUCAGAGGUAGAGUCUAACGGCUAGAAGAGCACCACAUGUUGCGCAGUGUUUAGUGCGCCACCAAUGGCCCAUGAAAACCCGGAGGAUUAAAUACCUCCUACGUUCGGUCGUAUUCGAAACAAUGU
rnacentral:rRNA from 1 species